GUUUUCUUUUGUUUUAUCCAUUAUUAUGAAUUGAAUCCAAAUCAAAUUUGGAGAUUCAUUUAUUAUAGUUUUCUUUUAAUCAGAGACAGAACUUAUUUGACCUCUUACAAUAAAACGUACCUUCUCAAAGAAUUUUAACUAAAGCAGUUCUUAAAAAGCAGCUUGAGCUCUUCUGCAGCAUGCUAGCAGCCCUCAGAUCAGCAUACUCUGUUGUUUUACCAUUACCAUGUAUUUGGAGUCAGAACUGUUUAUUGUAAGUCAUGUGGUUUUUAACAUAUGGUAUUUGUAUAGUUAGCACCCAUAUUGAAAGGAGUUUCUUUAUCAAGUUCUAUUCUAGGAAGGUGAUAUUUCCUUAUUUAUCAAAGUAGCAUUUG